ensembl:lncRNA
CAACGGGCACAUCCAAAAGUGUGCGGACGUUACAGGUUGCAAUGGCUGAGUGAGGGAUCAGUUUGUUGUCUGCGGCCGGGAGGACCUGGUCUACAAGGCUUCAUUGCGGAGCCUGAAAACCAGCAAAGAACUUCAGAGAGGAGACAAAUAGAGACCUGCAUACAGAGGAGGAGGAGGAGGAGGAGGGCUACAGCGACUGGUCCGAGGAGGAUCUUUCUCUUCAUUUCUCCGCCUCCAUCAUCCUCCCCUCUGAUGAAGAGUCAGACAGAGAGACGGGGGAGACACAGAACAAAGAGAAGGAGGGGCCUCAGGCCAAGGGUGGGGUUGAUGUGUCAGCCAAUCAGUUGCUCAGUCAGUCAAAGUGUCAUCGCCCAGCAACGUUUCUCCGGCAACACAGCAUGCCUGCAUACUACCAGCGGAGAUUUGCAACCAGCGACGAGGAGGGGCCCAGGGGCUACCGGGGCCUGGUGACUGCAGGCAGGCCAGAACUCCUAGGACCAGGUAGGAACAGUAAACCAAGGCUCCAGAAGUCAUUUUCUUUGGACGAAACAAAAACCAAGUUGGCGUCCUGCAUAAUCAAGGAGGUUUUGUCCAAGAAAAUGCAAGGAGAAAGAGGACCAGCCAAGUAUGCCAGUAAUCUGAUCCCAAACCACCCUAACUGCCAAACCCCAGGCAACCAACCAAAGUUUAGGCAUGGAGUAGGAGGUACAAGCCUGGUUCAGGGUGGACCAGUCCAUAUUGUGAGGGAUAUCAAGAGUCAGGUUCAAACAACGGGCCGCCUCUCCUUCACCAACACUUCCUCCGCUGCAACCACGACACACCACCGCGCUACUGGCUGGAGCCAUGUGACAUACAAGGUGAUUGGCGCAGAGGAUAGCCCCCCCCCAAGCUACCAGCAGGCUGUGGGGGUCAAGGACACCAAGGAGGCCACAAAGAGUCAUCCAUUGACUUCCCAAAGUCACGCUACCGUGGCAACAGCUCUUCCCCAAUCACUGGAGAGACUUGAGGGCAGCAGGUUCCCUAACUGCAGCACUCCAAUCAGAAAACAAGCAGCAGCCAAUCAGACGUGUCAGCUGGGGCCUAUCACUGAGGGGGGGGGGCAGCGUUCCGGGAGGGUCAGGGGUUCGAUUCCCCAGCAGGGAUCAGCUGGGGAAUCUGGAAAAAUUGGUCGGCCUCCACUCCCUGUUUACAACUACACCCCCAUCCUCGGGACAGGGUACGCCCAACCUACGGGCCUCCCCGACACCCCCACUGUGGUCUCCUCUUCCUCUACCCAGCAGAAGGCUAGAGGAGGAAAGGAUCCUCCCGUUCAUACAGACGAUUACAAGGGCUUUAUCAGCACCUCCACCCAGAACACCUCCACCCAUAAGACCUCCACUCAGAACACCUCCACCCAGAACAUCUCCAACAAGUACACUUCAAUUCAGAACACCUCCACCCAGAACAUCUCCAACAAGUACACUUCAAUUCAGAACACCUCCAACCAGAACAUCUCCAACAAGUACACCUCAAUUCAGAACACCUUCAACCGGAAAACCUCCACCCAGAACACCUCCCCCCAGAAUACCUCCACCCAAAGCAUCUCCAACCACCAUGCCACCCACAAACUGGAUCAAACACAACUACACCACCAACAACUACAACAGCAUCAGCUGCUUCAGCAGCAGCAGUUCAUGUUUGCCCUGCAGGGGUUCUGGCCUGGAGGAGGUCUGGUUGGGUUGACGAAUGCAGGGCCUGUAUCCACAAUGCCGCCCACCCAACGCCAGGUCAAAACCCUGUUUGAUCCAGAAACAGGUCAAUAUGUGGAAGUCCUCCUCCCAUUGGCUAACUAUGCCACCGGGAUGAUACCUGUAGGCCCCUCCACCAGUAUGAUACCCGUAGGCCCCUCCGCCAGUAUGAUACCUGUAGGCUACGGCCCCAUUCAGUACGGCUCAGCCCAUAUGCAGGUUGGCUCCGCCCAUAGUAUGAUACCUGUCAGCUCUGCCCCCCUACAUGUAGGCUCCGCCCCCAGUUUGAUACCUGUAGGCUGUAGAGUGAUGUCGUACCAUCCCAUGCCUGUACUCGCCUCAUACUACCCCCCCUUUACUUUACACACACACCCUGGCCCGUAACACACAAACACACCCUGCCCUGUAACACAAACACACCCUGCCCCGUAACACACACAGACAUCCUCCCCUGUAACUCACACCCACACACACAGACUUUGCCCAUUACACACACACCAUACAGUUCCUUUAAUAGACACAUACCUUGUCCUGUAACAUAUACGCACAUAGACUGCCCCGUGAAAACACACUCACGCACACCCCCACACACACACACACACACACACACACACACACACACAGGCCAACACAAUAACACACCAACACACACACACAUCAACACACUGACUUUGAAAGAACGUAAAAAUAUUAAAAGUAUUAGUAUUCCUAUAAAUAGGGCAAGGCACUUACACAGGGUAUAAGGUUUGAUUCCCACUUGGGCCACUAAUGAGUGUUUAAAAAAAGCAUCUGUCAAAUGGCAGAUAUUAUUUUCUUCAUACAACAUUUUUUA